rnacentral:rRNA from 1 species
UACAGAGGUCUCAAGCGUUGUUCGGAUUCAUUGGGCGUAAAGGGUGCGUAGGUGGCGUCGUAAGUGGGGUGUGAAAUCCCGGGGCUUAACCCCGGGACUGCAUUCCAUACUGCGGUGCUUGAGGACUGGAGAGGAGACUGGAAUUUACGGUGUAGCAGUGAAAUGCGUAGAGAUCGUAAGGAAGACCAGUGGCGAAGGCGGGUCUCUGGACAGUUCCUGACACUGAGGCACGAAGGCCAGGGGAACAAACGGG